rnacentral:tRNA from 1 species
GCGCCCAUAGCUCAAUUGGAUAGAGCGUCCGGCUACGGACCGUAAGGCUUGGGGGUUCGAGUCCCUCUGGGCGUGCCA